UACGGAGGGUGCAAGCGUUAUCCGGAAUCACUGGGUUUAAAGGGUGCGUAGGCGGUGAGAUAAGUCAGUCGUGAAAUCUCUUGGCUUAACCAAUGAAAUUGUGAUUGAUACUGUUUUACUUGAAAGAGGUUGAGGUCAGCGGAAUGUGGCAUGUAGCGGUGAAAUGCAUAGAUAUGCCAUAGAACACCGAUUGCGAAGGCAGCUGGCUGGGCCUACUUUGACGCUGAGGCACGAAAGCGUGGGGAGCAAACAGG
rnacentral:rRNA from 1 species